AAGGAGUUAGUUAAAUAAUAACAUUAGGGUGUCAACCUAAAAUAACUAAAAUAUUAGUACACCUUG
rnacentral:tRNA from 1 species